AAUUGUAUGGAAUAUUUUUACAUUUCACCAGCAUCCAUCAAUCUCGUACUUUUGGUAAACAUUUCCAUCAUCUCCUAUUUCAGAAAUUCUGUACUUUCAGGCACUAGGUUUACUAAAUACCACAUCUGCCUAUUUACUCAAAUGAUGUCCUUUACUUAAAGCCUUUUUGCAUUAUCCAGUUUUCCUGAUAGUUUGUAUAGAUGAUUGCCUGAAUUUCUCAAAAAGCAAGCUUCCCUUAAGCGUCAAAAUUAUUUUUAUUUCUUUGCAGUAAUUUCAAUUUACGUUUCAGUCCUUGCUUACAUUUUGGGAGACCCAGCUAUCUGCCAAAGCCUGAAGGCACAGAAGGUUUAUUCUCAUCAAUGUCCUUUCUACAUCAGCAUUCAGGGCUAGUGGCUGUCAUUUUUCGUGAUGAUUUUAUGGUUUUUAUAACCUCUUUGUUACAUGAUUUUAGGAUAACUUUCUAUAUGAAUGAGACUAUCCUAUAUCUUCUUCCCUUUCAUCCCAUUCUAGAUAUACUGUGAGUUCUAAAAAAUUACACUUGCCCAAACUCACUGUUUUCUUGGUACCUGGUUGUCAUUUGUACCACUUCAAGUAAUCAUCCUUUUUCUUUGUUUUGUUUUGUUUUGUUUUGUUUUUUAUUUGAGACGGAGUCUCGCUCUGUCGCCCAGGCUGGAGUGCAGUGGUGCAAUCUCCGCCUCCCGGGUUCACGCCAUUCUCCUGCCUCAGCCUCCCGAGUAGCUGGGACUACAGGCGCCCGCCACCACGCCCACCUAAUUUUUUGUAUUUUUAGUGGAGACAGGGUUUCACCGUGUUAGCCAGGAAGGUCUUGAUCUCCUGACCUCGUGAUCCUCCCGCCUUGGCCUCCCAAAGUGCUGGGAUUACAGGCGUGAGCCACCGCGCCCGGCCCGUAAUCAUCCUUUUUCUUAAGGUACAGAUUCCAGCACUGAGAUGAGUUCUCUGGUUGUACUUUGUCAAUAGUUUUCUCAUCGCUAGUU
rnacentral:lncRNA from 1 species